UGCUUACAUCACUGACUGUCCAGAGUAC
rnacentral:piRNA from 1 species